UCCUUAUUAACUUCGGCUUAGAAAUUUCAAUAACCUUGAAAUAUUUCCUCCUUAUUUCUCUCCAUCAUCGUACUCUUUCAGUCCAUAAUUCUCAUUUUCCCAUAAUAUCCUCUACUCUUUUUCGGUAACCUCGAACUCUCAAUCAUCAUCUCAUUCCUUAUGAUGCAAACUUUUUAAUUUUUGUUGUUAGAGUUAGUUUUUGUUAAUUAUGUCUUACUUCUGACUUGAAGAAGAAGAUGAGUGAGAGUAAGGUAUGAGGUUGAGAAAGUAUGAGGUUAUAGGGUUUGAGAGAAUAUUAAGAAAGGGGAAAGAGUAAAAGGUAUCUCGACAGAGUGAGGACUGUGGGUGAGAGAGUAUGAAGAUUAGUGAGAAAUGAGGAUGAGUAUUUAGGGUUAUUGGAAAAAAAAUUGGGUCCAAAUUGAUAAUGACAGAGUCAAAAAGUGCAUCUCAAAUAACAUGGACAUGAUCUAUGGUAAGCAAAGGAUAAGCAUUAUCAGCCUGAUCCAAAGACUCGUCUCUACUCAAAAGACAUCAAAACUUAAAAUGGACGGAUAAAGCUAAAGACUAGUAGAUCCAGACGAUGUUGUAGUUUAGUUUUCUGACUAUUGUUGUAUUAGAG